UUGAUCCUGGCUCAGAUUGAACGUUGGCGGGAUGCUUUACACAUGCAAUGAACGGCAGCACGGACUUCGGUCUGGUGGCGAGUGGCGAACGGCAGAGUAAGGUCGGAACGUGCCUAGUAGCGGGGAUAACUACGCGAAAGCGUAGCUAAUACCGCAUCGCCCUUCUGGGGAAAGUGGGGACCUUCGGGCUCCUGCACUAUUAGAGCGGCCGAUAUUUGGAUUAGCUAGCUGGUGGGAAACGGCCCACGUCAGCGCGACGAUCCGUAGCUGGUUUGAGAGGACGACCAGCCACACUGGGACUGAGACACGGCCCAGAUUCUACGGAGGCAGCAGUGGGGAAUUUUGGGAUGACAAUGGGGAAACCCGAUCCAGCCAUCCCGCGUGUGCGAUGAAGGCCUUCAGGUUGUAAAGCACUCUUGGCAGGAAGAAACGGCACGGGAUAAUACCCCGUGCAACUGACGGUACCUGCAGAACAAGCACCGGCUAACCACGUGCCAGCAGCCGCGGUAAUACGUAGGGUAAGCGUUAAUCGAAUUACUGGGCGUAAAGCGCAUGCAGGCGGUUCGGAAGAAAGAUGGAAAUCCCAGAGCUUAACUUUGGAACUGCAUUUUUAACUACUGGCUUUAGAGUGUGUCAGAGGAGGUGGAAUUCCGCGUAGCAGAAAUGCGUGAUAUGCGGAGGAACACCGAUGGCGAAGGCAGCCUCCUGCAGAUACCGACGCUUCGCACGAAAGCGUGGGGAGCAAACAGGAUUAGAUAAUUCUGGUAGUCCACGCCCUAAACGAUGUCAACUAGCUGUUGGGGCUUCCUCGGGGCCCGGUUAGCGCAGCUAACGCGUGAAGUUGACCGCUCCGGGGAGUACGGUCGCAAGAUUUAAAAACUCAAUUGAUGGGACCCGCACAAGCGGUGGAUGAUGUGGAUUAACUGAUGCAACGCGAAAAACCUUACCUGCCCUUGACAUGUCUGGAAUCCCGAAGAGAUCUGGGAGUGCUCGCAAGAGAACCGAACACAGGUGCUGCAUGGCUGUCGUCAGCUCGUGUCGAGAUGCUGGGUUAAGUCCCGCAACCUCAUCAUUAGUUGCUACGAAAGGGCACCGACGAGACUGCCGGUGACAACUGGAGGAAGGUGGGGAUGACGUCAAGUCUCAUGGCUCUGCGGUAGGGCUUCACACUGCUCAUAUACAAUGGUCGGGACAGAGGGUCGCCAACCCGCGAGGGAGCCAAUCCCAGAAACCCGAUCGUAGUCCGGAUCGCAGUCUGCAACUCCGACUGCGUGAAGUCGGACCCAUGGUAAUCAUGGAUCAGCACGCCGCGUGAAUGUCGUUCCUGAAUUUGUACAUACCGCUCCGUCAUACCAUGGGAGUGGGUUUUACCAGAAGUAGUUAGCCUAACCGCAAGGAGGGCGAUUACCACGGUAGGAUUCAUGACUGGGGGUGAAGUCGUAACAGCGUAA
rnacentral:rRNA from 1 species